UAUGGUUUCCCACCCCUAAUUAGCAUAUGCAAAUUAGGAUUCGGUAUUCGGCCGAAUCUUUCACAAAGGAUUCGGGGGUUCGGCUGAAUCCAAAAUAGUGGAUUCGGUGCAUCCCUACUCUAUAUCUGAUAUCCUCCUAUUUUGAAACAGAGGGUACUUUAUUCUAAUACUCACGUGUAAGUGAGUCAUGGAAAGAAAUUAUAUCACUAAUCUCUGAUUAAGAACCUUUAUAAGGAUCUAAUUAUAUGUAUGUGUAUAUAUAUAUAUAUCACCUUGAAGAAGUGUGUGUGUGUGUAAAAGCAGGAUCAGCGCCAUCUGUUGGUUGUAAUAUUGUGAUUUAUUUCACACAAAGUGAUAUAUAAAUAUUAUAUUCUACAGCUGCCAGUUUAUUUGGUCCCUUUUGUGUCAGAGGCACAAUAUAAAUCCAAAGGCCCGAGUUUUGUGGCAAAUCAGUGCAGAGAAUGAUAGUGUUCGGCCUCCACUUUCACAGUGGCUUAAUGGAGAUAUAUACACCAUGUCUAGUUCAGCAGAGAGAUCUGCCAAGUGUUUAAUGUGUCUUUUUGUUCCAUUGUGAGCUCUGCAGAUGCCAAAGCAGAAAUGUUCCACAACUGUUGACGUGACUGUAUUUUCUUUUCUCUCUCCAG